UUACCUUGGCUCAAAUUCGGCUUGAAAUUAAUUUCUAGCCUAAAUUUAAGCUCAAGCUUGGAUUGAAAUUAAUUCGAGCCGAGCUCGAGCGAGCCUAAUUUCAAGUCGAGCGAGCUCGAGCCCUAAACGAGCCGCUUGAAAGUCUCAACAUUAUGCGAUCAAUAGUUUAAUUUGUAUAGAACAUUAUCUAUAAUUUGAUACAAAAAUAUGUCUAAUAGUUCAAAAUACAAAAUAAUUAUAUGAAAUAUAAUAUUAUAAUAUGAAAAAAAAUAUUUUAUGAGUUGAAUAUCUAAUUUUUUCAGUCUCACAUGUCUUUUCUUCCGCCUUCAAUCUCUAUAUUAUUCAUUUUCAUUUAUGCAGUCAAAAAUAAAUAAAUUAUAUAGAUAAAUAUUGGAUUAAACUAUCCAAUCAUAUAUAACUAAAAUUAAAAUUUUAUAUGAAUAAUAAUUUUCUAUUUUAAAAAUAUUCUGUAUAUUUUUUCAAGCAUAUAAUUAAUAGCAAGGUAGACAAUGGCGGACAUAUGCUGUUACUUGGUAACUUGAAGGGCUUUCGGCUUGGCUACUUAGGGUGAGAGACAGAAAAAGAAAAAGAGAGAAACAUAUUGAAAAUUUAGAGCUCUGUGAAAGAAAGAAAGAAAGUAAAAAUAUAUAAAUUUAGUAAAAUUUUGAUCUUUUAUUUGUCUAUUGGGUUUGUUUUUAUGGGCCAACAACAUUGGCCCAAUUUUAACUAAACUAAGAUUAUUCACUCAGCCUAUAUAUAAUUAAAAUAUAUUAUAUUUAUAUAUUUUUUAAUAUAUAUAUAUAUAGUGUAGAACUACUAUGCUAUCGAAAAUAUAGAGGAUUUGAUGUUUUCGAAUUUUUAACCCUUUGAUUAAGAAUUGUAUGGUUGGGAUGAUUGCGGUCCCCCUAGGAUUAAAUAAUAUCCCU
rnacentral:lncRNA from 1 species